GUAGGUGAACCUGCGGAAGGAUCAUUACCGAGUGUAGGGUUCCUAGCGAGCCCAACCUCCCACCCGUGUUUACUGUACCUUAGUUGCUUCGGCGGGCCCGCCAUUCGUGGCCGCCGGGGGCUCUCAGCCCCGGGCCCGCGCCCGCCGGAGACACCACGAACUCUGUCUGAUCUAGUGAAGUCUGAGUUGAUUGUAUCGCAAUCAGUUAAAACUUUCAACAAUGGAUCUCUUGGUUCCGGCAUCGAUGAAGAACGCAGCGAAAUGCGAUAACUAGUGUGAAUUGCAGAAUUCCGUGAAUCAUCGAGUCUUUGAACGCACAUUGCGCCCCCUGGUAUUCCGGGGGGCAUGCCUGUCCGAGCGUCAUUGCUGCCCAUCAAGCACGGCUUGUGUGUUGGGUCGUCGUCCCCUCUCCGGGGGGGACGGGCCCCAAAGGCAGCGGCGGCACCGCGUCCGAUCCUCGAGCGUAUGGGGCUUUGUCACCCGCUCUGUAGGCCCGGCCGGCGCUUGCCGAACGCAAAUCAAUCUUUUUCCAGGUUGACCUCGGAUCAGGUAGGGAUACCCGCUGAACUUAAGCAUAUCAAUAAGCGGAGGAAAAGAAACCAACCGGGAUU
rnacentral:rRNA from 1 species